AGGUUAAGUUAAUAAGGGCGCACGGUGGAUGCCUUGGCACUAGGAGCCGAAGAAGGACGUGACAAACGACGAAAUGCCUCGGGGAGCUGUAAGUAAGCU
rnacentral:rRNA from 1 species